AACGGCCGCGGUAUUCUAACCGUGCAAAGGUAGCGUAAUCACUUGUCUUCUAAAUAAAGACUAGUAUGAACGGCUAAAUGAGGACAAACCUGUCUCUUACAACUAAUCAGUGAAACUGAUCUCCCAGUCCAAAAGCUGGGAUAACUACAUAAGACGAGAAGACCCUGUGGAGCUUCAAACCAACCACUAACAAACACAAACGCCAGACGUUAAUAGUGUGCGGUUUUAAGUUGGGGCGACUUCGGAACAAAACAAAACUUCCAAGCACGGAACCACAAACUCCAACCUAGGCCCACAAGCCAAAGUUUAUAAAACUGACCCAGUAAUACUGAUCAACGAACCAAGUUACCCCAGGGAUAACAGCGCUAUCUUCUUCAAAGAGUCCAUACGACAAG
rnacentral:rRNA from 1 species